GAUGAACGCUGGUGGCGUGCCUAAUACAUGCAAGUCGAGCGAACGGACGAGAAGCUUGCUUCUCUGAUGUUAGCGGCGGACGGGUGAGUAACACGUGGAUAACCUGCCUAUAAGACUGGGAUAACUUCGGGAAACCGUAGCUAAUACCGGAUAAUAUUUUGAACCGCAUGGUUCAAAAGUGAAAGACGGUCUUGCUGUCACUUAUAGAUGGAUCCGCGCUGCAUUAGCUAGUUGGUAAGGUAACGGCUUACCAAGGCAACGAUGCAUAGCCGACCUGAGAGGGUGAUCGGCCACACGGGAACUGAGACACGGUCCAGACUCCUACGGGAGGCAGCAGUAGGGAAUCUGCCGCAAUGGGCGAAAGCCUGACGGAGCAACGCCGCGUGAGUGAUGAAGGUCUUCGGAUCGUAAACCUCUGUUAUUAGGGAAGAACAUAUGUGUAAGGAACUGUGCACAUCUUGACUGUACCUAAUCAGAAAGCCACGGCUAACUACGUG
rnacentral:rRNA from 1 species